rnacentral:rRNA from 1 species
GUGAGGAAUAUUGGUCAAUGGACGAGAGUCUGAACCAGCCAAGUCGCGUGAAGGAAGACGGUUCUAUGAAUUGUAAACUUCUUUUGUGCAGGAAUAAAGUGGGUUACGUGUAACCUUUUGUAUGUACUGUACGAAUAAGGAUCGGCUAACUCCGUGCCAGCAGCCGCGGUAAUACGGAGGAUCCGAGCGUUAUCCGGAUUUAUUGGGUUUAAAGGGUGCGUAGGUGGAUUGAUAAGUCAGCGGUGAAAGUUUGCAGCUUAACUGUAAAAUUGCCGUUGAAACUGUCGGUCUUGAGUGCAAAUGAGGUAGGCGGAAUGUGUUGUGUAGCGGUGAAAUACUUAGAUAUAACACAGAACUCCGAUUGCGAAGGCAGCUUACUGGGAUGCAACUGACACUGAUGCACGAAAGCGUGGGUAUCAAACAGGAUUAGAAACCCGAGUAGUCC